rnacentral:rRNA from 1 species
AAAGGAAUUGACGGGGGCCCGCACAAGCGGUGGAGCAUGUGGUUUAAUUCGAUGCUACGCGAAGUACCUUACCAGGGUUUGACAUGCUGGUAGUAGGAGCCCGAAAGGGUAACGAUCCUAGUAGGCGACUAUUAGGGAGCCAGCACAGGUGCUGCAUGGCUGUCGUCAGCUCGUGUCGUGAGAUGUUGGGUUAAGUCCCGCAACGAGCGCAACCCUCAUUCCUAGUUACCAACAGGUAAAGCUGGGGACUCUAGGGAAACUGCCAGGGAUAACCUGGAGGAAGGGGGGGAUGACGUCAAGUCCGCAUGGCCCUUAUGCCCUGGGCGACACACGUGCUACAAUGGGUGGUACAGAGGGAAGCGAACCCGAGAGGGGGAGCAAAUCUCAGAAAGCCAUCCUCAGUUCGGAUUGCAGGCUGAAACCCGCCUGCAUGAAGCCGGAAUCGCUAGUAACCGUGGGUCAGCCAUACCACGGUGAAUACGUUCCCGGGCCUUGUACACACCGCCCGU